UCCUCCCCUCAAAAUCCAUGGGGCGCAGCACCUUGCCUCCUCAUUGAGUGUGGUGGUUAGUUUUCAACUUGCCACAACCUAGAACCAUCUGAGAGCCUCUGGUGAGAAAUUUUCUAAAUAUGGUUGGCCUAUGAGCAUGUCUCUGAGGGACUGUGUGGAUUACUGAUUGAUGUAGGAAGAGCUAGCCCACUGUGGGUGGCACCAUUCCCUAGGCAGGGGAUCCUGAGCAAUAUAAGACAGGGGAAAGCCAGGUAAAGCAAGGGUCCAUCCAUUUGUCCUCUCUCUACUCUGGACUGUGCAUGUGAUAUUUUAAGUUUCUGCUUCAACUUCUCCUCUAAUAAUGGACGGUGGCCUGGGAGUGUCAGCCAAAUAACUCCUUCCUCCUCUAAGCCACUUUUGGUCAGGAAGUUUUUUCACAGCGACAGAAUGAAACCAGAACACUGGGUCUCUGCUCAAAGAACACCUUCCCCACAAGGCCUUCCUCCUCACACUAUUAAAAACUGUCCCCACUCUCCCAUGUCCCACCUCCCCCUUCCUUCUUUUUUCUUUUUUUUCUGCCUCACUUGCCUGCCUUAAACACACCACAGUUUUCCUACUGCGUGAUAUCACCCACCUCCCCAAUGCCCGACACAGGGGAGCCUAACAGAUAUGUGCUGGAUGCAUAAAAACAAGCGCUGAUUGGUUAACUUUGUUGUUGUCGUUUCUUUAACUCAACUGAAAUGGCACCCAUUACGCGUUGUUUGCGUUGAGUAAAAUUCACCCCCCACAUACUUCUCUGCACUGCCAUAGAAGGAGCUUCAUUUGAUUUUAGUCUCGCAGAUGACCUUGGUUGGUAUAUGAGACAGGAGUGAAAAGAAUUCUGACCCCACAGAGGUGAAAACCAAGAGUCCGAGAGGUGAGGUCCCAGCACGUUCACUGGGUCACCGUCGGAACUGGGUUGGGCUUCGUUUACUGAUAUAAGGAUAACUAAGGAAGGCUGGCAAGAACCAAUGUAAAAGAUUUAUUUCAUCACAGUUCUACAGGACAUGAGAAAAGCCGCUUCAGGGACUUAAGUAACUUUGGCUUAUCGUUCAGGGGGCAGAGUCCAUCGCAGCAAGGAAAACACGGCAGCAGGCAGGCUGAGCAGGAAGCCAGCUGAUCACAGGGCCUCCUCUCCAGGAAGAAAAGAGAGAACAAGGGGUGGGACUGAGUUAUAAAAUCUCAAGGCUGCCCCUGCUCACUCCCUGCUCCAGCAAGGAUGCACAUCCCAAAGGUUCCGUGACUUUCCCCGCACAGCACCAUCAGCUGGGAUCACGUGAUCAAACACGAACCUACGGGGACAUUUCUCACUCAAACUACAACAUAAAUGAAGAGCUGAUUCACAAAAAAACUGUAUUUGUAAGCUUAAUCUUGUCAUCGUAGGAUAAAACCAACCUAAUUAAGAGCAAAGCAAACGUUUAUCUGCUGGGCAGAAGGGGUAAACAAUGUUCCCAAGCUCAAAUGGGAUCAAGAGUAGGCAGGGUUGCUGCCCAGUUCAAAAGUUCUGCUGUGGACCUGUCUGAGACCUUAUUAACAAUGCCUGCCAACUCCAUUUUUAUUUUUAUUUUUUGAUCUUCUCAAUAAAGAGCGGACGUCCAUGUAGAAAUGCCACUGUGCACGGACAGAAAACCUAUUGAGGAUGAACCCUGAGCACAAGUCCUGUCCUGACCCUUCCUUCCUGCCUGUCUAGGAAUCAUGUGAACCCCUCCGGGAGGAGAUUUUAGGACCCACUCUCAGACUCCGUAGGUCGGAGAUUUAUGGCUAGAUUUUACCAGAACAGAUGGAAGGACGAUUGGAUUCCUAUUUCUAGGUUUUAUGACUGCCUUUGGGGAGGGGGAACUGGGGUUCUAGUUUCUCUGUUGCCAUGGAGAGGAGAGGGGAUGCACAGGAGGUUUGGAGGGCUGAGGCCUCCUGUGCGUUUGACAUCACCGCCCUGCGCCUGCUGAAGCACCUGUUUUUGUCCUAGGUUCGGAACCUGGGUCCCCACCUCGGGGCUUUGGGGUUGCUUGUGAGUAUUUAUCUCCUUCUCCUCUGCGCAUCUGUUCUUCCUGAGACAUUUUUACUUUGCUCCAAGAAACAACGCCUGUAUUUUCCUCCUUGUUUUUCUCCCCCACAUCUUAUACAGAUAGCUGUCAUCCUCUGCCCUUCCACCCCCUUCCAGAAAGAAACCCUUGCUCUUCCCUCUGGGCAGCAGCGCCUGGAACAAGGGUUCCUGCUUUCCGGGUGGUCUCCAGGUAUGAAGGGCAGAACCAGGUCCUGGACUCUUAAAAUAAUGGCCAUGGUUGACAUAAUUCACAUGUGCCCUAGAGGUCUGGUACCUCCCCUUCUUCCCAGGGCAGGCUCCCAGUCUCCUGGGCCCCACACACCCCUGUCCCCAUCCUCGCUCUGCUCAGGACAAACCGGCAUGUCCCUUCUCACUGGCUCUGGAAUUUUCCGCGCCUGUCUGAAUUACAACACUGUCUCACUGGGUCAGUGGCUUGCAUUGUUAUCUCACAUCUUCAUCAAUUCGAUCCUUCUUUCUAGACACCACCGUUGUCCCAGGGUGGGAGGAUCAAAGAAGACGCCCGGUCCUUUAUCCCCACUAUAUACACCAAAGUGCCCAGUCCCAUCCAGGAGUUUGAGGGGGUGUGUGGGGUGGGGGCUGGCAAUCUCAAGCAGGAUUUAUAGCUUAAGUGGGCAAGGUGAGAAUCAGAGUGUGUAACACACACAAGGGGAAAGCCACCAGCAUCCCUCCCACCCACCCCACAGUGACGCACACCUCGGGUUUCUCAUGGAUUUUUGCGCACAAAGCUGCUGUCGCAGACAUGGAAGAGCGCAGCAGUUUGGGUUGUAAAUCAACAAUCAGGCCAGGCUGGGCGGGCGGGUGCCCGGCGAUGCAGCGCUCCGCUCCCCUAGGGGCUGCGGCAGCAGGCGCUUGGAAUUUUCCACCGGUGGGCAGACCCGCAGAGCCGCAUCCCAUUGGCGGAGCUCGGUGGCGUCGCUGCGUGGGUGCAGAGUGGAUAGCUGUUCUGUGACCUUGAAGCACUGCCCCUAGAGAUGUCCUACCUGUGACCUUGAAGUAUCUGCCCCUGGGGUAUGACUCAGGACUACCCUUAAGACUACUCUACUCUUUCCCUGGUGGACUUGGAUGCUGAGACAGGCUGAAGAACAGUGUGGGCUGUAACUCCGCCCUCUAGGGCCCUGUGAUAAAUCUCCUGUGCUGUAGUGAAUUUUCCUCCCUAAUAAAUUCCUUCACUCUUUAAGCAGA